GUGGCUUUCCUUAGACCUUGCACAGCCAGCCGGUCCCUCCUCGUUCUAGCAGCUUCGUUACGGCACUGUUUCCAGCAUCUGCUAAGGUUUGCCCUGAUGUAGGCAGCUUUCAGUCAUGUCACCGUGGGCAGAAUAAUGCCUUCAAGAUUCAUCCAAGUCGUUGCAAGUAGCAGUAAGUUGUCCCUUUCCGCUGCGGAGGAUGUCGCCCGGACACACUGCAGUUCCUGUGCACCCGCUGACAGCUGGACAGUGUGCAGCUUGGGGCGAGCAUGAGCGCGGCCGCUGUGAAUAUCUGCGUACAGAUUGUUGUGCCAAUACGUGUUCCUUUAUCGAGGGUGCAAACUAUUGUUGCCACUAGGAGAAAUAGUUGCAAUGCAACCUGACAAAGCUUUUUAGAGGAAUAAUUUGACAACACUUGUUCCAAUUAAAAUAUGCAUACCUUUCAACCCCAUGAUUCUGCCUUGGCCUCUAUUUUAAAGAAAUGUUCAUAUUCAGUGCACAAUAAGGCCUGUGCAAGGACUUUACCAGACAAGGAAUUCGCCAUCUGUGAUCAUGAAAAGACAGAAUCAACCUGAAGGUCCUUUACUAUGGGGAAUCUAAAGAAAUGAUGGCACAUUCAUACUAAGACAUGACAUACCACUAUUAAAUGAGGUAGAUAACUAUGUGCUGAUAUGAAAAGAUCUCUAAGGCAAUGUUAAGUGAACUAUAAAUAGUGCAGGCUGUC